rnacentral:rRNA from 1 species
UGCAGUCGAACGAUGAUGCCCAGCUUGCUGGGUGGAUUAGUGGCGAACGGGUGAGUAACACGUGAGUAACCUGCCCCUGACUCUGGGAUAAGCGUUGGAAACGACGUCUAAUACUGGAUAUGAUCACUGGCCGCAUGGUCUGGUGGUGGAAAGAUUUUUUGGUUGGGGAUGGACUCGCGGCCUAUCAGCUUGUUGGUGAGGUAAUGGCUCACCAAGGCGACGACGGGUAGCCGGCCUGAGAGGGUGACCGGCCACACUGGGACUGAGACACGGCCCAGACUCCUACGGGAGGCAGCAGUGGGGAAUAUUGCACAAUGGGCGAAAGCCUGAUGCAGCAACGCCGCGUGAGGGAUGACGGCCUUCGGGUUGUAAACCUCUUUUAGUAGGGAAGAAGCGAAAGUGACGGUACCUGCAGAAAAAGCACCGGCUAACUACGUGCCAGCAGCCGCGGUAAUACGUAGGGUGCAAGCGUUGUCCGGAAUUAUUGGGCGUAAAGAGCUCGUAGGCGGUUUGUCGCGUCUGCUGUGAAAUCCCGAGGCUCAACCUCGGGCUUGCAGUGGGUACGGGCAGACUAGAGUGCGGUAGGGGAGAUUGGAAUUCCUGGUGUAGCGGUGGAAUGCGCAGAUAUCAGGAGGAACACCGAUGGCGAAGGCAGAUCUCUGGGCCGUAACUGACGCUGAGGAGCGAAAGCAUGGGGAGCGAACAGGAUUAGAUACCCUGGUAGUCCAUGCCGUAAACGUUGGGCGCUAGAUGUAGGGACCUUUCCACGGUUUCUGUGUCGUAGCUAACGCAUUAAGCGCCCCGCCUGGGGAGUACGGCCGCAAGGCUAAAACUCAAAGGAAUUGACGGGGGCCCGCACAAGCGGCGGAGCAUGCGGAUUAAUUCGAUGCAACGCGAAGAACCUUACCAAGGCUUGACAUACACCGGAAACGGCCAGAGAUGGUCGCCCCCUUGUGGUCGGUGUACAGGUGGUGCAUGGUUGUCGUCAGCUCGUGUCGUGAGAUGUUGGGUUAAGUCCCGCAACGAGCGCAACCCUCGUUCUAUGUUGCCAGCGGGUUAUGCCGGGGACUCAUAGGAGACUGCCGGGGUCAACUCGGAGGAAGGUGGGGAUGACGUCAAAUCAUCAUGCCCCUUAUGUCUUGGGCUUCACGCAUGCUACAAUGGCCGGUACAAAGGGCUGCGAUACCGUAAGGUGGAGCGAAUCCCAAAAAGCCGGUCUCAGUUCGGAUUGAGGUCUGCAACUCGACCUCAUGAAGUCGGAGUCGCUAGUAAUCGCAGAUCAGCAACGCUGCGGUGAAUACGUUCCCGGGCCUUGUACACACCGCCCGUCAAGUCAUGAAAGUCGGUAACACCCGAAGCCGGUGGCCUAACCCUUG